UACGUAGGGGGGCAAGCGUUGUCCGGAAUCAUUGGGCGUAAAGCGCGCGUAGGCGGCCCGGUAAGUCCGUUGUGAAAGUCAAAGGCUCAACCUUUGAAUGCCGAUGGAUACUGCCGGGCUAGAGUCCGGAAGAGGCGAGUGGAAUUCCUGGUGUAGCGGUGAAAUGGCGCAGAUAUCAGGAGGAACACCUAUUGCGAAGGCAGCUCGCUGGGACGUUACUGACGCUGAGACGCGAAAGCGUGGGGAGCAAACAGG
rnacentral:rRNA from 1 species